rnacentral:RNase_P_RNA from 1 species
UCAGAUGGCCGGAUGGCCGCUGCCCGCGCCCUUUACGGGCCGGGGAGAGGAAAGUCCGGGCUCCACGGAACCAGGAUGCCGGGUAACGCCCGGCGGGGGCGACCCCAGGGAAAGUGCCACAGAAAACAUACCGCCGGCCCCGCCUUGCGCGGAUCCACCGGUAAGGGUGAAAAGGUGCGGUAAGAGCGCACCGCCGGGCCGGCAACGGGCCGGGCAUGGUAAACCCCAUCCGGAGCAAGACCAUGUAGGGACACGGGUCGCGCGCUGGCGUUAUGUCACGGCGCGGCAGGCGCGGUUCCGCGCCGAUGUCCGGGUAGGUUGCUUGACGGAGCCGGCAACGGCACCGCUAGAUGAAUGGCCAUCACCGGGAAACCGGUACAGAACCCGGCUUACAGGCCAUCUGGCAGC